AUAUUUUUAGAACACUAUGUAAAUAAUUUUUACAGCGUAAAAGCAAAAUAAAUUCAUACAUGCUAUUAACAAAUAACCAAAGUAUAAAAUUUAAUUUACAGUGACACAUGGGCUCACGAAUGACAAAAAGUAUUUAAAGAAAUGAACCUACAGUUUUUGGAUGUGGCAAGUCCAACUGUAGUCCUCGUCGAUAUCAGUUAUCUACAAUCUAUUCUGAGCCUCAAAUGGGUGAAAAAGAGGGUGGUGAGAUUAUAAAAUCUCAGUGAGUAAACAAAUAUCAUUUAAAAUAUCUAAAGGCGAGUAAAAGGAGACUAUUAAAACAUUUCAUUAAACUGUAAUUUAUCAUCUUUCAACUUAUUUCAACCAAAUGAAAUCAAUUUAUUUAAAUCAAGUAAUCUGUAUGACUUAUGAAUUUCUUAAAAGCUUGGCUCACGCCAAAAAUUAUUAUCAUACUCAGUUAUCUGGGAUACCUUGACCGAGGGCUAUCCUAACUGAGUCCGCCAAGGCUAUUAGAAAGUCAUGUACGCAUAAAUCAUGUUUUUAUUUUGAAAACAUAGCCAUUUCUUGGCAUUGGCUGAGUUCCCCUUCACGUGGUGGUUUGGCGUGAAGUGAACUCUAAAAGUUAUACCUCGGGAGUUACCCUACUCGCCUCUCCAACUGAGGUAAAAUAUAACGGGUUUACCGUGCCCCACUAAUAGGCUAGUCCAUGGAAACCCGCCCACUGCAGUAAGCUACACCCACCAUACAAUAAAAUUUUGACAGCAUGACAGGGCUAAUAUAUUAUUACCCAGCCUGCAAGGGUAAAAUAAAGCAAUUCAUACAAUUCAUAAAACACAAUCCAGCUAGUCAUGCCAACACAUUAACAUAAGCCAUCAAUUCCAAUCAUAAAUUUACAACAUACCAGUGGUAUCCAAUUACUCUAUUUUUCAAAAUCAUUUUUUCAUUUCAAGACAAUUCAAAAAAUCAUUUUAUUUAAACAUAUUUUAUUUGUAAAACCAAAAAUUAACCAUUUAAACUCAUUUUCAUAAAAUUCCACCAAAACUGAUUAAAAACAUACUUUAGAUAAUUAAAAUGAUGAUAAGGUUACUCACAGUAUUAGGAGUUCGAUAUACUCCUAUUCCCGGUCUUCGGGCACAAUCUCUUUACUCUUAUUAGAGGGCUCACCACCUAUACAUCAUACGUGACAUGAAUUUUAAUAAAUUGUGUUAAUUUAUCAUAAACUAUUUCAGGCUCUAUAAAUCUAUAUGAAUGCACGAAAUGUGAUGCAAAAUGUCUGAAUAGCCGUUUAAAUACGGUGUUCGACCUAAUUCGCACUAUUCUCGGUGUAAUUGGCUAAAAUCUCCAACUUAACUCCAAAUCAAUUCUUCUCACUAUCUACACUCCAAUUAUACCUAAAUUACCUCAGUGACUGUGAAUGAGAUUCAAUUUAUCAAUCCCGGGUCAAUAAUCACACUUGUCUAUACGUUGAGCAAAAAUUCAUAUUUUCACACCAAAAUUUCCCAUUUAAUUUCUAAUCUCACCAAACAUCAAAUAUCACCAAAAUAUCAUGAAAUAUCAUCAAUUUUAGCCACAAUAUCCUCCUUAGGAAAUUUGGCUAUUGAUGGUUGAUGGGGAAAAUGAAUUCUUUUCUUGUUGUUUUGUUUCUAAAUAUACUAAACUAACUAAAAACACUAACAUAACUUAAAAUCAAAUCAAUCUAACAUCUUUCUCUCUCCAUGCCCAUUUUAACUAGCCAUAAAUUCACCAUGAAAACAUGAAAUCUAACCAUGAAAAAUAAGGAGAAAUGCAUGGGAAAGGUAGAUCACAAGUCAAAAUCAAUAAAUUUUACCUUUGAUUGUUUGAUUACUUGAAAUCCACUAAUUUUUCCUUGAAUUUUCCCACCUAGGGUUCUUGUUCUUCUUUUCCUCUCUUUGUUCUUGCUAUGGCCGGCCAUAAU
rnacentral:lncRNA from 1 species